CCUUGUGGAGCACGGGUACUUGUCCUAGACGAAGAGCCUCUCUCCCUUCUAGAGCCCAAGUUUUAAUAUGGUGUCCAAUCAAAAGUGAUUAAGCAUCGCAGAGCACAAACAAUGCUGGCCCUUAAAUCUCUGUGAACCCUCAUUCACUCGAGCGAAUGAAAGAACACUCUGUCUGCGGCGGCAGAUGACAGACGCGCGCUUGAAGAUAAGUCUUCUGCGUGAGCCCUUAUCCUGCGAACACCCGCCGUUUGAGCAAAUAAAGAAAUAAAUAAAUGCAUUACAAAACGCCACACACAACAGAACUGGGUGCCACCUCUAAAAAGGCAUCAGUGGGGGAGGAGAAGGCUGUUAUUUUGUCCGUCAGUGUUACGUCCCCAACAUGGUGCCUCGAGAUGAUACCUAAAACCAAAUGGCACCGGACGAGGCCCAGUUGAGUAAGUGAACCAUAACUCAGCUGAUGGGAAUUAAGUCAAGAAUGGAGGACAAACAUGCAUGCAGAUGCAAAGACAGCGCAGUGAAUAAAAAGCCUGUUAAUGUUCAAGCACAAACCCAACUGCGAGCAAUAAAUCACUAAUAAAAUCAACCAGCUGCCUCAAGCGCAGCGUCUUUCACAUGAGAAAUUUCAAAAAAGCAAAUUUCCCACAAAUCAUCCUGUCUUGUACAUAAAUUACCAACAAUUACAAUGCAUAAUGUAUGCGGUAGUAAAACAAUACCCUGAACUAAUGCAUUAGAUACGUGCGGUACACAGCAGCAUGAACAUUUAAGAAAAAGGGGGGACCGCUAACUAAUGCUGAAAAGAUAUUGUUCUUUCUUUUUUUUUUUAAAUGCCAAGCGCAAGAGCAGAAUUACUUGGCAGCUGUUGUGCGAUUUUUCAUCAUUAAUAUAAGAGCUGCUUGCAGAGUUGCUUAAAUACUCUUUUUCAGCGCAUGUAAUGCAAUCUUGUACUCGGUAAGCUUCCAUUUCUAGCUGGAAUGACUGCGGGAAAAUACUGGAACCAGUCCUGCUAAACAUGGCAACCCCACUUGCGCGUAUAUUCUGUUAUAUUUAUUUUUUUCCCUAUAAAAGUCUGCUAUUGAACUGUUACAGCAUCCAAAAGGCACUGUUAGCAGAUCUCUAUUAGCCCGUUUCAGGGAUUCAAUAACCAUACACACAUGUAGACGCAUUAGCAAAUUUGAAACAGAGAGAAGCAGACAAGCGUCAUCACUGAGAAGUCAUGAGAGGGAGGAGCUGGCACUAUGACAACAAGACAUUAGCCGUCUGCAGCCUGCUGCCGUCAACAAGUCAGCAUGAGCACUACCAUCUGACUGGGCUUUCCCAACACUGCCCCCAUACACUCAGCCAAAACUAGCUCUUGCUGCUGCUGUUGCUGCUGCUGUUACUGGCUCCUGCUUUCAAUUUCAAGAGUGGGCCAAGUAAUGGCUUCAGCGUUUUGUGGUCUGCCGACACAUAUGGUCCGUGUAGCAGAACCAGUUCUGCCCCCCACCUCCUCCCCUGUAGAUCGUUUUGGGAUGUGCACGGAGAUGUGGGCAGAAGGAGACUGACACAGCCCCAGGGGCUGGCCGCAGUUAUGGGGGGAGACGUGUAUGGGUCUUGUUAUGACUGCCAAGAGAAUUGGUCUCAGCGGGGCCACCGCUGCAAUCAGUCCAAUGCCACAACGUGCAGAACUAACCAAACAGUAUUUGUUUAAGGUUUGGCCCUUUCUGAAAAUAAUGUGUAGGAGGUUCUUAAAAAUGCCACCAGCUGCAUCGUUCCCAAAGACACUUUAUGCACGACCAUAUGAGGAAUCGACCCCAACUUUGACCAAAUGGAGAACUCAUUAAUAAUUAGGUCAGCUUCCCAUUUAGCCUAAUGGCACAUGAGAAAUUGUAUUUACAUUAAAAACAAAACUUUUAUGAGCCAUCAUAGGAAGGGCCACAUUAACCUUUUCUUUAUUGCUCCCAUCAGCGCUAACGUCACCGCUGGCAGUUAGGCUAUCGCUGCCGUGGACGCUAUCUGGCUGCAUGACCUAGAUUAAAGGUUAUUUGCCCAAGUCACAGAGGCUGCUCCUUUGGCUCGCCCUUGUUGGGUUUCCUUAUCGGAGUUUGUCUGGACAAAUCUUGGACACAAAGCACCCAUUUUGUGCUCCUCUCUGGAGAUCCUGUUACAGCGUUCCAGACACGACGCGGUCCGCCACCAGUGCCUCUGGGAGCACGGCGUUUGGUUGGGGCGGUGCGAUUAGCUGCUUCCUCAACUUCAAGCAUAUGAUACAUGUGAACUCCUCUUACGUCCCUGAGCAUGCUUUUGUGCAGCGACAGGGUAAAAUGAUCGGGGGGGGGUCAGAUGAUGUCAUGCUGUGAGAAUUCGGAUAAAGUGACCCUCCCAUCCUCAUUACAAGACGAUCCAAGGGUCCUCCAAGUAAAUUCUGCCUUUAGCUACUUAAAUACUUUUCCUUUGUAACUACUAAAAUUCCCAUUUGUUGCACAAUAAUGUCCUGUCAUUAGAUGUACUAUGGAAAUAAUUGAGCAUCUCCACCCAGCAGUAUGCAUUUACAGUCUGUGUGUGGAUAGAGCUGCCUUGAGGAUGAUCCAGUGGCCUUAUUCCUCCUGUGCUCUACAAGGACAAAGAACAACUAAGAGAGCAGGGUCGAGCGAAGCAGGGAGAACGAGGAAAACGAGAGAGAAAAAGAGUAGUGUUCGCUGACCUCAUUCUGACAAGCCCGGGAAGAGUCUUUCCUUGGAACCGUUUCGCAAUAGCACUGUUGUUUAUACAGGUGGUGGGUGAGUCGAGCGAGAUAUGCAGAGAGCAUGCAUUUUGCAACACCUCAUUAUGAAUACUAAACACAAGCAGCAUGUCAAUUCACACAGCGCACACACAAACAAGCACUUCACCCACACUCCAAAGAGUGGUUCACGUUUCAUUUAAGUUGUGACAUUUGCAGGGAAUGCGUCACUUUGUGGGCAGUGGCCAAAUCAUUCCACUCUGUUUAAAUUUCAAAGUCAAGUUCCUUCACACAACCCAAGAGCUGUCAAAUGCUACUGUCCCCUCGUAUUGGCUGCCGACUGCAAGCCUCUUGGAACGGAUGCCUCCGGUUGCCUUGUGUGUUUGGCUUUUGGGCCGUCUUCGGCAACAACAUCCACUUGGCCAGAGUUCAGCCCUGUGGAAGGCUACAACAGCCCAAAGGUGGCUGCCAGGACCAUUGUUUAUGCAACAGUAUACUACUGCUAGGUUAAAGGGAAAAAGAGCAAAACAGUGGAGGGAAAUGAAGGGCUCCUACCUGCAGAAAUAAGCUUCUGUCUUUGUACACAUGCUUCUCUAUGUACAGGAAGGAACGUUUACACACUUGCUGCGGUGAAAGAAUAUGGCUGGAUCGUUGGCUGGCUAAGGCAUGGGUCUUCUGAGGUGAAUACGAGGAAUUCAGGUCAGUGCAGCCGAGACGUUUAACCAGAUCAAGCCGCUGCAGCCUGGGUGGAAAUAGCACGGGAGGCCACGGAGGGGGAAACCAGUGCGUCACAGCUCCCGGCCUGAAUCCAGGCUCACCCCCCACCCCACCUCCCCAAUGCAAACAAGAGCCAUAACUUCCCUAAUGAUCUGAGAUCAUGUACGCCUCACACACACUUCGCCAAUAGGAAGCGCUUCCUCUCCACCUUUGACCUCACAGUGGGUGUGUCUGCCUUCGACUUGACAUGUGCAUCAGGAAUGGUGCUAGAGUGAUUUGAUGAAUAGUUAGUGGCAAGUUCAUCUAUGAGGUUUGAAAAAAGAAAAGCUUUAAUCCGAGAAAAUCUUUCUGCAACACCAGGAAAAUCUUGAAAAAUCGGAUUUUAAGCCCUAACAAAUCUCUUAAUAUCUUAAAUGUUUGCUACAUUUUGAUAAUCUGACACUGACUUGUUUUCAUUUACAGUCUCUCCUCCCCCCCCACCCGUCACACACAAUUGCUCUGUGAUUCAGAAGUCCAACACCGCACUCACUCACACACACACACAUUGUAAACAGUCUUUAUUGAGACGUGAGUGCUUGUAUAAACAUAGACAAGCUCUAUUGAGGGUCCGGGGCUGGGUUGAACAAUAAGAGGGGGAAAGUUGCUGGACGUUCCUCACAGACGGUGUGUACAAAAUCCAAUUAUCAGAGCCGUGGCAUUAACAUUCCAGCAGUCUGGCAGGUGACGGCUCCGUCUUUUCAGCUCCCCCCACCACCAUCACACACACACACACACACACACACACACACACACACACACACACACACACACACACACACACACACACACACACACCGCCAGCAUGGGAUAGUCUCCCUAGGCAGCACCUCGACAAUACACUUACACACAUGCAGCCUUCUUCAGCUCCCCCUUUCUAAGAACCCCCAAGUAUUGAGACAUAUAUAGCAGGAAGAAGGCAAAGAGAGGGGAGGCAGUUGGGAGGAGUGUGGGGUCCACCAGCGACACUGAUCUUUUCUUCAGGAGAUCAGCGCAACCAGCCUAGCAGGCAGUAUCAGUCAAUGGGGCAUUCUUCUCCUCUCUGUGUUUGGGUGAGAAUAUGUUGAUCGUCGAUAACGGCGCUUUGAUCGCCAUAAUGGGGAAACCGCGUUUUGUUUUGAGCAUUUGCCUAAAAACAGUGAAUGCUUUGUCAGCCUUCGGGCGAUGUUUGCGGCAUACAAGACGCCGAACUCGACAAAGGUUGAAGGUAAAACAAAACUAUUGCUGUUCUUGGCUACAGGGCGGCGUCUGAAGGAUUAAAAUAAAAGCCGGCACUUUAGGGCUUCUCAGCGAGGGAAGCAAAACACACACAAAAAAUACAACUAAAGAACUAAAACUGAGACUUUAAAGUGCUUCUUCUUUGAUUACACACACUAACUCCUGUAAUUAGCCUCUGCACCUUCUUCCAGCAUUAAUCCGUCCGGUUUGACAAAGCUCUAUCCACCGUGCAUCGUUACCAGGUUUUCUUUUUUUUUUUGCUAAACAUACUGUGCAUACAGACCUUAUCACUAUAGGAUAUGGUGUACGUGAUAGUGUGCAUGUGAUAUGUAAAGCCUCUGCCUGGUGUCAUGCUCUGUAUCCUUGUCAGGUCCUAUAUAUAAACAUACAUCUGGCCCCCAUUCUGCUCUUUCCAUCAUGUCAUCCUGCCUACAUGGGAGCAGGCUGUGGGAGAUACAUACAGUUCAGUACAGGACAGGACAGUAGGGCUGGAAGAAAUUAUUGUUUUCAUUUUUUUUGACAGAUUCUUUUUUAUUAUAUGUCAAAACGCCUGGUCUUAAGCUUCUCAGAUCCAAAAGCAAAUCUUUCUUUUAUGGUUUUUGCCUGACUAGUAGAUUAAGAUUCAAGAAAAUUCAACUUAAAGAUGCAUAUACUAAGAAAAAAAUACUCAGGCUGAAAGCUGGGAAUAAGAAACGUUUGACAUUUUUGGCUUCGUAAAUGAUGAUUAAUGAAUCUAAAUUAAGCUGAACUAACUUUUUCUUGAUCAACUGAUACAGUACAUGUGCUGAAGCCAAACACCCUGCUGCUAAAAAGUUAGAAGUCUGUUCACUGAAAUCAUUUUAUGCAUUUAUUCUGCAUCAAUAGCUAACUAGGAUUUUAUGGGCAUUUUGACUUGAUGUUGUAUUCCUUCCUUUAAAACAGUUACCGUUUUUUUUUUAAAAAAAACGCCACCUUUAGCUUCUCUUUUCACAGCUUAAAGUAACUGAGAAGUCUACUUUGUCCCCCUAUAAACCUCCUUUUGUUGCUCCUAUUCUCCCCCCCCUCUUUGUGUGUCGCUGUCCUCCUUUGCGGUGAGAUGUUAGUCAAGUGUCUUGUGGCUUUCUCCACCCUCACCAGAAGGCCUGCCCGCGGUUAAUUAUUCUUGGAUGGCGGAUGAAAAAAAAAAUUUGGCAGGGGCCUGCAUCGUUUUCCUGAUGGCCGCCGACCCUUCAACACCCUCCUUUUGAGUCUCAAACUCCCGUUUGUGGCUUUGUUUUGGAUAAGAGCGGAGAAAAUGUGGAGAAAAAAAUUUCAUGCUGGUUCGUAUCCAAGGGUUGUUGUCUUACUGUAUUUCAGGACUGGAAUUAUUAAUUGUAAUGUAAAACUGAAAAAGGGAUACUUUAGCAAAGCCAUACGAAGCUUUGCUGACAUGCCCUUGGAUGAAAAGAAAGUCAUAAUAAAACUUUUCCUGGGAAACUGAAUGAAUAUGGUUUAUGUAUGUGAUUGUUGGUAUAAUUCCAAAGUUAAAAAGAACCAUUAAGGACUGUGGGCUACCAUUCCCUUGCCUUCACACAGUUUAUCCCAUAAAUUUGCGCAAGCAGUGAGCACACCGAGUAAUACGCUCUCCACCAGAACUUUAAGUCUAUUACACAGUGCGUUCAACAAUCUGAGGCCCGGAGAAACAGUAUUUCAUCAUGCAACUACUGGAAAUAUGCCCACUGACAGGGAAUCUGGAUUGCACAUACACACACAUAUUUUUUAAAAAACAACAACAAAAAAACUCUUCCCACCCACCUGUUCUUGAGACAUUUUGCUAAAUCUAUCAACUUCAUCUGCUUGCAUGUAUUUUAUUCCAUACCACACAGGCCCACAAGCAGAAAGCACACGCGUUUGCAUGUGCACGAGUCCAAACAUUCAAAUGUAACGUACACGUCUUCUCUCUGGGGCUGCAACCCGAUCCCAAAGCACUCCAAUGUGACAUUAAAAACCCAGACUCUUUACCGUUAGGAACCUGGAUUCCCAACAUGGAAACAAACAAGAUGGCUGCCGUGUCUCCAACUGAAGGCGUUGUUCCUCGGCUCCCAUCUGAAUGGAGUUAAGAGGCUGGCUAGCAGGAGCGGAUAGGAGAAGAGUCUCCUGGGGCAGUUGGCUCAGCAAGCGGGACCAGAGGAUGGCUGCACCGUGGAUUAGGGCCCCACAGUGGUCCAUUGUUAAUUGGGCGCCAUGUGUGAAAGCUACAGAGAGAUUAGUUUGUACAGCUGCUGCCAUUUGUCAUAACUGCCCUUAACAAGACACACAUGGCAACGCAAGUUACAGCCAGAAGUUUUGCAGAAAAAAAGGGAGUAAAAAAUGUCAGGCGAGCGUCUAACAGUUUGCAGAACAGGGCCCGCAUAAGCAGAUGAAGAUGUUCCUGGGAAACACCGAGCAGACUCGGCGGGGAUCCCAUAAGAGAUGAUGAGCUUGAGCAUUACUCAUUUAGCCAUCUGUAGGUCAACUAGAGUCAUUAUCAUAACUGCUCAAAAGGACUAUGCUAAACCAGCACAGAUCCCAGACCACGGGUUGCAAACAAUUCGGUGAAAAUUAUGAGGGAAGAUCUGCGAUUACAUCACGGCCCUGUUGGGCAGAGCUCAAAUUAGUCAGCGUCUGGGUUUUGUUCAACGAGCAAGAGUUGGAUACAACACAGAUAACAAGAGCCUGAUGACCUCCUGUUAGCCAAAUUUCCCUACUAAUGUAGAAUACAGCAUUAGGUUUAGGAGACGGAUGCUGGAGGAGAGGCUUUUUUUUUUAGGGGGCGAGCAGGAAUGUGCAGUGUAAUUGUGGGUUGGAGGUAUGUGCACAUGUUGGAGGCCUAAUUACAAUCUUGACUUGGUAAAUCUGGAACAAGCUUUUAAAAAGGAAUCCCACUUUCAGCUUUUUCUUUUUUAUGCCUGACAGCUGCCGGAGUGGCGAGGAGUUGCUGCUCACCAAAACUAAACGCAGUCUUUUGUGGAGAAGUGCAGGUGAGUAACCACAAGACGGAUUUGUUGCAGUUUCUACGUGCAUAAGUGAGAACACAGGUCUCCAUGUGUACAUUUUUGGAUUUGCAUGUCAAAUUUAGGGACGCUUCUCUGAAAGUCCCUGUGAGCUAAACAACCAGCUGGAGCUUUGUGCCAGCAUAGAGAGCGGGACAAUUCGAGAAGAACUCAAGCUGUUGGGAUCCGGAUCGUCACACAGACUUUUAGUGGACACCAUGGUAACGAAGCCUCUUCUUCUUCAAGAAAAAUAAUGGACUUCAUUAACUAUCCUGUUAGUGCUCCUGCUGGCUUUAAUCACGGGAGCACACACGGCACUGGACCAGCCCACUCCUAACACAAGUAUUAGCACUUUGGGCUAACAAUUUCAUCACUACUACAACAUCAAAAUUCCCCUCAUUUCAUUUUGAAAAAGUUAUAAUUAAUAGCUACAUUUUGUGAUUACAAUUUGUAGUAUGGUUUAAAAUAGGAAGAGCUUAUUUUCACUUCUGAUUUAAGUUGCUGGGUUGUUGUGAAUGCUGCAUUUAUGGCGGUGCAAUUCUCCCAUAUUUAUGCACAUGCAUCUACAGAUAAUAUGAAGGAAAUGUGCACUUUUCUGUUCUCCUUUUUAAUCACUGAGUUUUUUUACUAAUGCCUUGAUGUAAAGAGAGAAGCAGAACUGCCUGUGACAGAGGAGAAAGUACCUCUGUGGAAAAUGUGUAACAUCUGCAGUUUGGUGAUCCUGAGAUAUGGGAUUUUCAUGUCGUUACAAACAACGAGGAGUCCACAUUUCCUCUCCUCCUGUCUACCCCGUGUAUGGCUCACUUUAAUCAAACACAGCCCUGCUGCUUCUUCGUGAAAACAAGUUGCUGUACAUGCUAAAAAUGUAAAUGACUUCUUUUUCCCCUUUUUUGCUAUAUAACUUUUCUUACUGUAAGAGCCAGUAAAAAUAAUAUAUAUGCACUCAGUGUUUAUUGUUUAUUGCGCUGCUGCUUAACAGUUGGUUUCUAAAUUUGGGAGGUUUUUUUUUUUUGGGAAAAGUCAACCCAACAUAUGCGAGGGAGGAGUGCAGCUCCUUUUGCUUGCUUUGACAACUCAAUGGGGUGCUGAUGAAUCCGUCCCAAGCAGGCCAUUCCCAAGCCCCAGACACCAUAUCCCCUCUCUGACCCACUGCACUGACUUUAGAAAGAAAUUCUCUGGGGAUUCGCCCCCCACCCCAAACAACAACAUGCCCACCCAAAAGUACAUUUCGCACGGCGCUGUGAUGGCGGGCCUCUCUUUUUCUGUUCCACUCAGGUCUUGUCGAGCCGUCACAGUGAUGGGCCGUACUGUAACGCCAGACAAAGGAAGAGACAACCAUCACUCUAGGCCACUGAUCGGCCUUGUCUGGCCUGAAAAGACUUUGAUGGGGCAAAGCAGAGUGGGGGGUGCUGCUCAGAGAAGUCAGUGUCUCCUGGGCAACCACUCCGAUUGUCUGUCCCUGCCCAAAGUUCCCAAUAACACCCCACCUACUACCCCUUCCUUUUUUUUUCUUCCCUUCAUUGGUUGUUCACAAGCCUCCAUCCUGGGUGAAGGGGACUGGCUUUUGCAUAAAAGUCUCAUUCUGAUACUCGAGGGUGCUUUUCUCCUGACUGACUGGAAAAAAUGCAAGGUCAAAGAACAUCUUCACACAAAUUCUCUAACUAAGACUUUUUGUCUUCCCUCUAAACCUUCUUAUCCUUCUUUUCACUCCAGACUCUGCUGUCUUACAUGACCAGUCUAGCAGGCAGAUGGGACAACAGUAGGUUUUUCUAGCAGUUACGCUAGUACAACGGUGAAGAAGAGGGCGCAGCCACUGGAUGGAGAAGCUCAGGCAGCAGGGAGGGCCCGCUUUGUAAGGCAGGACAGUGAUAAGGUCUGGGAUAAGGGUGAAUGUACCCAUUUGUCUUCAUUUGGUAGG